CCCAGACCGGCGCCUGGCCACAGUCGCCGCCACACCCCCGGGCUUUCCCGGGCCCCAAUAGGCCGUUACCUCGGCUGCCCCGCCUCCUCCGGCGACUGGCCUUACGUCACUUCCGCCAGCUCCGGGUUUCCCGCCUCUGGGUCCCGAGCGUCUCCGGUGUCACACUAUCAAGGCUCAGUUUUCGAACUUUGUACCAAAGCCUUGUGAGCGACUUACCUAGAGCCCCGGGCCAGGAGUCAUCAGGUGUGAAGGGGGCACUUCUCUGUGAGUGAGGUCAGUGAGGAAUGAAGAAUGAAAGAAAACCCUGAGGAACUGCUUUUCAAAGAGAAAUGAGGCAUUCAUAAAUGAACAGAAAGCCUCAGCAAUUCCCCACUUGGGAGUAGGCACCUGGUCUAAAUACAGGCAGAUGGAGAAUUAGCUUGUCAAAGAUGGAGAUGAGAAGAAACCAACCAAGAUUUUGACAGUAAUGUGGGCUUGUGGGAUGCACAGGAAUUUGGAAGAAGACCAUAGUAGAUUGAGUUUUCCAAAAAUGUCCUCAACAGUAUCUUCCAUCCUACAGAAUCUUUCCUACAAUGUGACAAUGACAUUACUUCCACGGAGUCGUAGUGUUCAUGGUCCCUCCCUUGAAUCUGGUCAAGUUUGUGACAAUGAUGAAAAUAAUGAUAUGUGAAUUCUGAGGCUAAGUCAUAAAAGGUGUUAUAGCUUCUAGCUGGACCUCUCGGGAUGCAUGACUUUGCAACCCCAACUGCAAUGUAAGAAGUCUAAAGCUGCUGUGGUGUGAGGAAAGGUCAUGUGGAGGUGUUUUGGAUCAUCCCAAGCUGAGUUUGCAGCCAACAGUCGGGAUCAACCCACAAGCAUGUGAUUGGAGCCACCUCUAGAAGAUUCCUACUCCCUGGAGGCAGGUUACUCCCAGCCUGAUUCACAUGAUC